rnacentral:rRNA from 1 species
UGGGGAAUCUUGCGCAAUGGGCGAAAGCCUGACGCAGCAACGCCGCGUGUGUGAUGAAGGUCUUCGGAUCGUAAAGCACUGUCGGGAGGGACGAAUAAGGUCCGGGUGAACAAUCCGGUCCGAUGACGGUACCUCCAAAGGAAGCACCGGCUAACUCUGUGCCAGCAGCCGCGGUAAUACAGAGGGUGCAAGCGUUGUUCGGAAUUAUUGGGCGUAAAGCGCGUGUAGGCGGUCUCGCAAGUCGGAUGUGAAAGCCCUCGGCUUAACCGAGGAAGUGCGUUCGAAACUACGAGACUUGAGUACCGGAGAGGGUGGCGGAAUUCCCGGUGUAGAGGUGAAAUUCGUAGAUAUCGGGAGGAACACCAGUGGCGAAGGCGGCCACCUGGACGGCUACUGACGCUGAGACGCGAAAGCGUGGGGAGCAAACAGG